rnacentral:rRNA from 1 species
UACGAAGGGGGCGAGCGUUAUUCGGAAUUACUGGGCGUAAAGCGCGCGUAGGCGGAUAAGAUAGUCAGAGGUGAAAUCCCGGAGCUUAACUUCGGAACUGCCUUUGAAACUGCUUAUCUUGAAUCUGUUAGAGGGUGGUGGAAUUCCUAGUGUAGAAGUGAAAUUCGUAGAUAUUAGGAGGAACACCGGUGGCGAAGGCGACCACCUGGGACAGUAUUGACGCUGAGGUGCGAAAGCGUGGGGAGCAAACAGG